CUACGGGUCGCUGCAGUGAGGAAUAUUGCACAAUGGGGGGAACCCUGAUGCAGCAACGCCGCGUGGAGGAUGACGCAUUUCGGUGUGUAAACUCCUUUUAUAUGUCAAGAAAAUGACGGUAGCAUAUGAAUAAGCGCCGGCUAACUCCGUGCCAGCAGCCGCGGUAAUACGGAGGGCGCAAGCGUUACUCGGAAUCACUGGGCGUAAAGGACGCGUAGGCGGGUUGAAAAGUCAGGUGUGAAAGCCUACAGCUUAACUGUAGAACUGCACUUGAAACUCUCAAUCUAGAGUAUGGGAGGGGCAGAUGGAAUUAGUGGUGUAGGGGUAAAAUCCGUAGAUAUCACUAGGAAUACCUAAAGCGAAGGCGAUCUGCUGGAACAUUACUGACGCUAAGGCGUGAAAGCGUGGGGAGCAAACAGGAUUAGAUACCCCAGUAGUC
rnacentral:rRNA from 1 species